ACAGCAGUCGCCACGGUAAUACGGAGGGAGCUAGCGUUGUUCGGAAUUACUGGGCGUAAAGCGCGCGUAGGCGGUUACUCAAGUCAGAGGUGAAAGCCCGGGGCUCAACCCCGGAACUGCCUUUGAAACUAGGUGACUAGAAUCUUGGAGAGGUCAGUGGAAUUCCGAGUGUAGAGGUGAAAUUCGUAGAUAUUCGGAAGAACACCAGUGGCGAAGGCGACUGACUGGACAAGUAUUGACGCUGAGGUGCGAAAGCGUGGGGAGCAAACAGGAUUAGAUACCCCUGUAGUCCCUGUCUCUUAUAC
rnacentral:rRNA from 1 species